UACGUAGGGUGCAAGCGUUGUUCGGAAUCAUUGGGCGUAAAGGGCGCGUAGGCGGGAUGGCAAGUCGGUCGUGAAAUCCUUCGGCUCAACCGAAGAACGUCGGCCGAUACUGCCGUUCUUGAGGGAUGCAGAGGAGAUUGGAAUUCCCGGUGUAGCGGUGAAAUGUGUAGAGAUCGGGAGGAACACCGGUGGCGAAGGCGGGUCUCUGGGCAUCUCCUGACGCUGAGGCGCGAAAGCGUGGGGAGCAAACGGG
rnacentral:rRNA from 1 species